GAGAUUAGGGCCCGGGCUUGGCCUGGCGCGGCAGCGGGCGUCGAGGGAGGACGCCUCGAGGGGAGCGCGGGCGUUCGGCGGAGCGGCCGCUGGGGUGUGGAGGCGGUGCGGGGCGGCGGCCGCUGGAAGGGGCGAUUCCUAGAGGCCAGCGAGGCGGUGGAGCGGGGAGAGGGAAGAGGAGGAAGAGCUAGAGGAGAGUGGAGAGAAGGAGAAAGAGCGACCUGUACUGGAGGUACCGCGGCAACCUGGAGUUAGAGCGACCUAGGCCGGCGGAGGUGUGGUUUAGGCGGCCUUUACCUAGGAGGCACCGGUCUAGGCGGGCCUAGGCUGGCCCGGGGCGGCAGUAGCGGUGGCCUCGUGGCGGGGCGAGCUGGACGUCGCGGUGGAAGGUGGCCGUCGGGGGUCAGAGCCAGCGGUGAGCUAGUACACCUACUACGAGCCGCACAGGGACAUUAACGGCCGAUGACGGCGAGGGGCGGGGACAAGUUAAUUCGGUUGCGAACUUUAAAACCAAGUCUGACUGGACGAGAAGUUAGGAACGACUAAACACCAAAACUCUGGGUGGGUUCGUCCCAGACGCAAGUACUCCUCUUGGACGACAAGGACCUCCGGACCGUCUGUCAGCUAGGGCGACGAUGGUAUUCAGGCGAAACACUGCUCGACCAGUUGUGUGCCCUCCUCUGUAUAUACUAAGGUGAACACGUUUCAGACGGACAUGACGAUAGGUAUAACGGGGUAUCGUUAUGUUAAAUAGAUGAUGGAGUUAUCGAGUGAAGACGUUCAGUAUUGCACUGUGAAUUAUAGAAUCUUUCAUGUUGGCUCAAAUUAUUCACCUAGUUUACGUCAACAGUACGUGGAGGAAACCAACUUAGACUUAAGACAAUCUUUGUACCGUUUGGUGGAUUUAUACGGUAACUAGACAUGUUUUGACUCUCUAAAACACAAAAAUAUCAAGAAAACACGAGAGUGGCUUAAACGAAUAGACUGUAAAAAAGUCUACAACGUUGGAACCCGCUAGCCAAGUAACCUAAGAACUUUGGUUACGGAAAAGACUUCAUUCAGACCGUACGUUCCACGGGAGUACCAAAUAAAGGUUCUACCGCGACCCUAGAGCCCCUGCACGGCCUGCCGCAGCGCAAGGACGUGGAACCCCUACCGAACCCAGCUUAAGAGGAGGUACGUUAGAACACGAGGAAACCCACAAAGAUUAGAAAGACGGAAGAUCGUAUUUAUCUCUCUACAAGAGGGUAGCGAUAACCGACAGUUUAAACGCUACGUUAGGCAGGCAUACAGCCGUGUUAGUCGUCUUGUUUCGUCGAUGGUACUAAACGGGUAACUAGAGAACCUCACUAAGUUUGGACGUUCGUGGUCCUAACUCACUGAGGACGUAUACUACUGACUUCUUAAAAAGUAGUUAAAAGGUUGGACUUAAUCGAUGUCUUAAACCCUUUUCUCCUCAGGUCCGAGAUUACUUGUGUGGCAGAAAGGGUCUUUGGUGAAGUUGACCGGGUCCUGACACAGAUAAUCAGGAGGCCAUAAACAACUCUACUGUGUAACAUACCGUCCAUUGUUCGUUGACUUCGUACUUCUAAAAAAAUUAAAGAACCUUUCAUAUUGGUGGAAUUGGGUCCUACGUUCUACUUCCUAGGUUAUACAGUCCUGGUUGCUCCCUUAACGUCAUACAGUCUUGGUUACUCUCUUAACAUCUCGAAGUAUAAUUCAAAUAAAAUCGACGAACGGGCGAAGUUUACAGAUCUAAUGUCCUUUGUACAAAGAAAUUCACUGUUUGGACCUAUAGUUAAAUAAGUUUGAUAAUAUAAAGAAUAUCUUCAUUACGUUAUAUAAGAGAGAGAACACGGAUAAACUUUAUGG
rnacentral:rRNA from 1 species